UAUAUAGAUAAAGAUAAUCAUCCAAGAUUACCUAAAUUAAUGUCGAUGGGUCAUUCUGGUGAAAUGAAAUGAAUUUACGUAAGUUCACAAAUUUACCCGGGCUCAAAAUACUCAACUCGUGUCCACAUCAGCAACUGACACCUCCAUCGUGACUAUUUUUCUUGGUUUUAAUCUAAUUCUAUGCGAAAAAUUCUAAAUCUAUUAUUGGCGACCUUGACACGGAAUCACAGUAUUGGCAAGACAUAAUUAUGUAAUAAUAAGGAGAUCAGCAGACGUGCUCCCGUGUCUGCAGAUCUUUAGUUGAUGUCACUCACUCGCGGUCUGGACUUUAGGACGUUACAUUAUGGACUGUAUUAUUGAAUCUGUUAAUUGAAAAAUGGUCUAAACAGCCCGUUUGGUGUAGCGCACUGGCCAUGUGGACAUGCAAGGGUAGCGACCCUAUUAUUGCUAGGUAACGCCUCGUUGCCAACCUUAUCGAUUCUCUUUAUUUAUAAAUUUUCUUUGACAUUUUGGUAUUUGAAUUCAGGUAAUGGAAUAUCUGUGUAGAUUAUAAUGUCGUGGUGAAGUGAUGUUUUACCAAAUUUAUUUUGAUAAUUUUGUUUAGAGCGGGACACAGAAAACGGGACGGGACACGUAGCGGGAAAUAGAACUGGACACGGGACGGAAUAUGUCUCAGGAAACCGGCCGUGGUAAAGAAAAUGGGAUGGGAUACUUUGCGGGAAACAAGAUGGGCCACAUUGCAGGACACAGGAUAGGAUACAUCGUGGAAAACGAGACGGGACAAAUUGCGGUUAAAGAAGAGAGGUUGGAUAUAGUUGAUCAGUAUGUGUAUCUGGGACAAGCACUAAGGCUACAAAAUUAGAAGAUACAGAAAUAAGAAGAAGAAGAAGCAGAAAAAUAAGAAAAAGGAAAAGAACAACGAGAUUGACAGAAGAAUUCAACUCGGAUGGGCGGCUUUUAACAAAAUGGGUGACAUAUUAAAGUCAACUCACUCACUCCACAAUGCCUAAAAACCCGCUUAUUUAACCAAUGUGUCCUGCCCACCAUGGCAUAUGGUGCCGAGACAUGGACGCUCACGAAGGAGACUGUGUACAAAUUGAGAGUCUGUGUACAAAUUGAGAGUCGCACAGAGAGCCAUGGAGCGGGCCAUGCUCGAUAUCAGAUUGCAAGAUCGCGUUCCAAACACCGUGAUCCGACAGCGUACCAAAGUACGGGACGUGGGAGACGCGGUCAUGAACCUGAAGUGGAACUGGGCCGGACACCUGGCACGUCGGCGUAAAGUGACAGGUGAAGUAAAGUGCUGACUGAAUGGUGGCCUAGGGCCGGCGAGAGAGGUGUCGGGAGUCGGGCGACCUGCGAUGAGAUGGGCGGACGAUAUAAUAAAAGUCGCUGGUUGUACAUGGAUGAGAGAGGCACAGGACAGAGGAGGUUGGCGUACGCCAAGAGAGGCCUGUGCUCAGCAGUGGGCCCAAAGAGGCUGAAAUGAUGAUGAAUGAUGAUAAUUUUUGAAGAUUCCGCUGUAUUUAUUGAAUAUUUACAACCAGCCGCCUGUCUGACAUCGACCCUACGUAGCGCUAUUGUUGUCUUUCAGCUACCGCCUUUAUCCAUUAGUCCAAGAUCCACGGAAGGAUAUGGAGUGGUCCUAUAAUAGAGCGGGACUACAACGACUAAAAAAAACUAGUACCUACCUUUGUGGAGCAAAGUCGUCGGGCUCGAAUGAAGGGUUGACCAUAGGCCCACUCUGUCUUCUUUUCCAUUCUAAUUUCUCCUGCAAAUAGAAAUAAGAAA